rnacentral:misc_RNA from 1 species
CCUGCCAUCUAACAUGGCUGCCGUCACGUGAUGGUGCAAAAGUUCUAUUGUCAGCGGUCUUGCUGGUAUAAAUGUAUGACAAACUGCUUAGCAUAUCAGUCAGUCCACUUCAAGCCUGCUACGGCUUGGAUGUGUUUUUACCAAAUAUCAGGUUGAAUAACAAGUAUGAAUUGAAAUCAGAAUGCCUUGUACAGCUUGCAAGCACUAUCGGCGAAUGGGUUAGUUAUAGCCCAGAGUGUCCUGCUGUCAUCAUCAUCUGCUGCUAUCAAUGACUAAGAGAGAGGAAAGGGAAAAAACAGCUCUUAAUUAUUCAUGUUAGCAUAUGAACUUGGCUUUUGCUUAUACUCUUAUCCAUUGUCAGAUAUAAUACAUGUAAUAAUUGUAAAGUUAAAAAUUCCGUUUAUCAUUGUAACUCUAAAAAAAGAAAAAAUGGAAUAAAGCGUUAUUAGUUGUGAAGCGAAGAAGAAAACAAACAUGUUAAUCUUUUGUAAUACUCAGAAGAAGGACAGUAACGCUGUUAAAGUUACAAAUAAAACAAAUACGUCUUUAUUA